rnacentral:rRNA from 1 species
GAUGAACGCUGGCGGCGUGCUUAACACAUGCAAGUCGAACGGAAAGGCCCUGCUUUUGUGGGGUGCUCGAGUGGCGAACGGGUGAGUAACACGUGAGUAACCUGCCCCUGACUUUGGGAUAACUUCAGGAAACUGGGGCUAAUACCGGAUAGGAGCUCCUGCUGCAUGGUGGGGGUUGGAAAGUUUCGGCGGUUGGGGAUGGACUCGCGGCUUAUCAGCUUGUUGGUGGGGUAGUGGCUUACCAAGGCUUUGACGGGUAGCCGGCCUGAGAGGGUGACCGGCCACAUUGGGACUAAGAUACGGCCCAGACUCCUACGGUAGGCAGCAGUGGGGAAUAUUGCACAAUGGGCGGAAGCCUGAUGCAGCAACGCCGCGUGCGUGAUGACGGCCUUCGGGUUGUGAACCGCUUUCUCCUGAGACGAAGCGUGAGUGACGGUAAUUAGUAAAGAAGCACCGGCUAACUACGUG